AGGAUAUUUCUGAAACUGCUGGAGGUGUUGCAUCUUCUGGGAGGGCUGGCUGUCUUAUCUGAGAACACCCACUGCGUGCAAGUUUUCUACAGUCUUUGUCAGAAGCACCCAAGAACCCUACAACUCCCAGUUCAUCUGUAUAAACCAGCAGGUACUGUACUAAAGAAGACAGAGAAAUCAUGUAACAUGGGGUGACGGCUGUACCAAAAAAAAUCUACACCAAACAAACUGGAAAAGCUAAUGAAAGGGUGAAAUGAAGACCACAUAAGGACUUGAGCAAAGGGCUGAAAUGAAGUCUGGAUGAGGGCAGCAGUCCUUCACAACUGAUGAAGAAUUUCUGCCUAGAGAAGACCAGAGAGGAAAGAGAGAAGAGCAAGAAAGCAAAGGAAAAAUGUAGACCUGGUCAGGCUGCUGAAAGGGAAGCAGUGUGAGUAGAUGCCUCAGUUCUUUUGUGGGUACAGAUCUACAUGCAUAGCAAAAAAUCUAUAUAUAUUGGUUUAUCAAUGGCUAGCUCCAGGGGAAUCAGAGUCACUGUUUCAGUAAGAGCAGGACUGAACCCCAGUGCUGCAGCUGGGAUUCAACUUUCUUCACCCAUUUUUCACAUCUCUGUUUUUGUCUGGUUUUUAUUCCUUGAGUAAUUUGUUGUGUAGGUUACAAACAAUUUCUUUGCAUUUUCUGUAUGUUUGUUCUGAAUGGGAAAACCCCUGGGUGAAAUGUGUGGACAGCAAUGCUGGCAAGCUCAGAGAGGGAGAGCUGAGCACCUGAUCUGUCAUGGCCAUGUCGUGUUUGCAGUUUCAUAGCAACAGUAAUAGUGUGGAGGAAAAGAAUGCAGGGAUACCACUGAGAUAAAAAAUCAGUAAAACUAAUGCAAAGUCUGAGUAAAGGAAGCUUUAAAAAAUUUAUGCAAAAGUAAGUAAACCUCAGAUAAAUGAAGUCAUAGGCAAAGUACUGAUGCUGAAUCCUGCUGGAGCAGUUCACAUUCCCACUAUUAAAGGUGAAAAGCAAUCAUUAUCCUCAUUGCACAGAUGAAGAAAAUAAAAAGAGAGGAGUUAAAGAUCAUCCACAAAGUCAUAGAGUGAAACAUUAGUGCAUGGAGAAUGAAACUCAGCUUUGCAGUGAUCUACCAUGAGAUUAUGCUGCAGAAAAGUCACUGAAAAGUUCAGCUAUGGGAAACACCACUAAUGUGCUUUGAAAAUUUCCAGUUAGAGGUGAACUGCAAAGAGUAAAAAGGUGAAAAAUAAAAAACCCUGUAAUUGUCAUGAAAAUUACAUUGGGUCACCUCCUUUCAAAAAAGAUGCAGCAGAGACAGAACUGAUAAAGAAAUAAUAGGCGGGAUUGGCACUGCUCAGCUUUUGGUUUGCAACCCCAAGAAGGGUACAAAUGCAGAAGGGGAAGCUGAAGGGGAACUGUCACUGCAAUAUACUGAGAGCUUAACUUCUGCCCAAGGCAAUUGUCGCUCACCUUUUACCUACACAUCCUACCUUAGAGGUCAAGUAUUCACUGCCAAUCUCUCAAAGCUUAUACUGCGGUCCACUAUAAAAUCUUAGUAUUAGUAUCACAGAUAUAUAUUUUAUUCUCACAAAGUAAAUGUAAAUGUGCAGGAACACAUUUUUUAAAAAGUAAGGAAUUUC